UACGUAGGUCCCGAGCGUUGUCCGGAUUUAUUGGGCGUAAAGCGAGCGCAGGUGGUUUAUUAAGUCUGGUGUAAAAGGCAGUGGCUCAACCAUUGUAUGCAUUGGAAACUGGUAGACUUGAGUGCAGGAGAGGAGAGUGGAAUUCCAUGUGUAGCGGUGAAAUGCGUAGAUAUAUGGAGGAACACCGGUGGCGAAAGCGGAUGACUGGACGGCAACUGACGGUGAGGCGCGAAAGCGUGGGGAGCAAACAGG
rnacentral:rRNA from 1 species